rnacentral:rRNA from 1 species
AGACCUUUAGUUUGAACCCCGAAACCAGGUGAGCUACCCCGAGACAGCCUAUAUUGAUUUAGGGCUAACCCGUCUCUGUGGCAAAAGAGUGGGAAGAGCUCCGGGUAGAAGUGACAGACCUACCGAACCUGGUGAUAGCUGGUUGCCUGAGAAGUGGAUAGAAGUUCAGCCUCGCACACCCCAAGCCAGAAAAUACACCGCUAAGGCACUCAGGGAAAUGUGGGAGAGUUAGUUAAAGGGGGUACAGCCCCUUUAACAAAGGAUACAACCUUUGCAGGAGGAUAAAGAUCAUAAUAUAUAAAACAUGCUGCUCUAGUGGGCCUAAAGGCAGCCACCUAAACAGAAAGCGUUAAAGCUCAGGCAGAAAGAAGUUUAUUAUACCGAUAAAAAAUCUUACUCCCCUAAUUAUAUCAGGCCAACCCAUGCCAACAUGGAAGAGAUUAUGCUAAAAUGAGUAACAAGAAGACCUGCUCUUCUCCCAGCACAAGUGUAAGCCAGAUCGGACUAGCCGCUGGAACUUAACGAACCCAACCCAAGAGGGUAGUGUGAAUAGUACAGACCCCAAGAAGAACUCACAACUAAACAAUCGUUAACCCCACACUGGAGUGCUAUUAUAAAGGAAAGACUAAAAGAGGGGGAAGGAACUCGGCAAACACAAGCCUCGCCUGUUUACCAAAAACAUCGCCUCCUGCAACUAUAUUGAGUAUAGGAGGUCCAGCCUGCCCAGUGACUACGGGUUCAACGGCCGCGGUAUUUUGACCGUGCAAAGGUAGCGCAAUCACUUGUCUCUUAAAUAGAGACCUGUAUGAAUGGCUAGACGAGGGCUUAACUGUCUCCCCCCUCCAGUCAGUGAAAUUGAUCUAUCCGUGCAGAAGCGGGUAUAAUUAUACAAGACGAGAAGACCCUUUGGAGCUUAAGGUACAAAAUCCAACCACGUUAAACGACCCCCUAAAGGGCAAGAACUUAGUGGCCAAUGAAGUUUUACCUUCGGUUGGGGCGACCACGGAGGAGAAAAAAGCCUCCGAGUGGACUGGGUUAAAACCCAAAGCUAAGAGAUACAUCUCUAAGCCGCAGAACAUCUGACCAAAAGUGAUCCGGCUAAAAAGCCGAUCAACGAACCAAGUUACCCUAGGGAUAACAGCGCAAUCCUCUCCCAGAGUCCAUAUCGACGAGGGGGUUUACGACCUCGAUGUUGGAUCAGGACAUCCUAAUGGUGCAGCCGCUAUUAAGGGU